GCUUGUCUCAAAGAUUAAGCCAUGCAUGUCUAAGUAUGAACUGGUUUAAGGUGAAACUGCGUACGGCUCAUUACAUCAGCUAUAACUUUCUUUGAUCAUAACUUCUAAAUGGAAUAACCGAGGAAAAGCCUGGGCUAAUACAUGCGACAAUUCCGGUAGUAAUAUCGGAAUGCUUUUAUUAGAUCAAAACCUUCUAGUUCCUUCACCGGAACUGUUUGUUGGUGACUCUAAAUAACUUUGUGUUGAUCGUAUGACCUUUGUGUCGACGACAUAUCUUUCAAGUGUCUGACUUAUCAACUUUAGACGGUACAUUAUAUGUCUACCGUGGUUGUAACGAGUACAGAGAAUCAGGGUUUGGUUCUGGAGAGGCCGCCUGAGAAACGGCGACCACUUCCAAGGAAGGCAGCAGG
rnacentral:rRNA from 1 species